GCCGGAGUGGCGGAACUGGCAGACGCGCCGGACUCAAAAUCCGGUGGGAGCAAUCCCUUGGGGGUUCGAGUCCCCCCUCCGGCA
rnacentral:tRNA from 1 species